rnacentral:rRNA from 1 species
UACGGAGGGUGCAAGCAUUAAUCGGAAUUAUUGGGCGUAAAGGGCGCGUAGGCGGAUUUGUAAGUCAGAUGUGAAAUUCCGAGGCUCAACUUCGGAGCUGCAUCUGAAACUACAAACCUGGAGGGAUGGCGGAGAAAAUGGAAUUCCACGUGUAGCGGUGAAAUGCGUAGAUAUGUGGAGGAACACCUGUGGCGAAAGCGGUUUUCUAGCUAUUUCCUGACGCUGAGGCGCGAGAGCAGGGGGAG